AGAGUUUGAUCAUGGCUCAGGAUCAACGCUGGCGGCGUGCCUAAUGCAUGCAAGUCGAACGGGGCUCCCUUCGGGGGGCUCACGUGGCGGACGGGUGAGGAACACGUGGCCAACCUGCCCACCGGCAGGGGGUAGCCCGCGGAAACGCGGGGUAAUUCCGUAUGAUCCUGGCGGCCGCGUGGGGCGGCCAGGCAAAGGUCCUUCGGGGCCGCCGGUGGAGGGGGCUGCGCCCGAUUAGCUAGUUGGGGGGGUAACGGCCUCCCAAGGCGAUGAUCGGUCGCUGGUCUGAGAGGAUGAUCAGCCACACGGGGACUGAGACACGGCCCCGACUCCUACGGGAGGCAGCAGCAAGGAAUUUUCCGCAAUGGGCGCAAGCCUGACGGAGCAACGCCGCGUGCGGGAUGACGCGCUUCGGCGUGUAAACCGCUGUUCGGGGGGACGAAGCACUGACGGUACCCCCGGAGGAAGGCCCGGCUAACUACGUGCCAGCAGCCGCGGUAAUUC
rnacentral:rRNA from 1 species